rnacentral:rRNA from 1 species
ACGUAGGGUGCGAGCGUUAAUCGGAAUUACUGGGCGUAAAGCGUGCGCAGGCGGUUUUGUAAGCCAGAUGUGAAAGCCCCGGGCUCAACCUGGGAAUGGCAUUUGGGACUGCAAGGCUUGAGUGCGGCAGAGGAGACUGGAAUUCCUGGUGUAGCAGUGAAAUGCGUAGAUAUCGGGAGGAACACCUGUGGCGAAAGCGGCGCACUGGACCACAACUGACGCUGAGGCGCGAAAGCUAGGGGAGCAAACAGGA